GUGCCAGCAGCCGCGGUAAGACGAAGGAUGCAAGCGUUAUCCGGAUUCAUUGGGUUUAAAGGGAGCGUAGGUGGCCAAAUAAGUCAGUGGUGAAAUCCUGUUGCUUAACAACAGAAUUGCCAUUGAUACUGUAUGGCUUGAGUAUAGUUGCCGUUGGCGGAAUAUGACAUGUAGUGGUGAAAUACAUAGAGAUGUCAUAGAACACCGAUUGCGAAGGCAGCUGACGAAACUAUAACUGACACUGAGGCUCGAAAGUGCGGGGAUCAAACAGGAUUAGAUACCCUGGUAGUCCGCACUGUAAACGAUGAUUACUCGCUGCUGGAGGGCAACUUUCAGUGGCUUAGCAAAAGCGAUAAGUAAUCCACCUGGGGAGUACGCCGGCAACGGUGAAACUCAAAGGAAUUGACGG
rnacentral:rRNA from 1 species